UCAGGCUCAUCCUGGAGCCAGCUCUGCAGAGGGAACAUGGGGGGAGGCGACUCACACCAUGACCUGUGUGGAGGUGGCCAUGGUCGGGUGAACCAAUGAACCAAGACUCCUGAGUGUGUUAAGUCCAAAGAGCAGGACUCCGUGAAGGAAAGAGGGAAGAGCUGCAGCGGGGAGGCUGAACAGGCAAAGCCUCCAGACAACAAGAGCAACAUUUUAAUUUAAAUUCUGAUUCCACAUUCAUUCACAGAGCAGCUCUGAGCAGGGAUUUCAUUAAAGGCUUUAACAGGUUUUAUAGGACUUGUCACCUCAGGGAAGGUGAUGGAGCAAAUGCAUUUUCUCUGCCUCCAGGAUUUUAACAACGGCUUGAAGAAACAAACUUACCAUGAAAAUGCAGGGCAGUCCAGCCUUGUGCAGACAAAGGAGAAAUGAGCCUCACUCGGGCAAACAGUGCUGGCGACCUCCUCUCCCUCCCUCCACCAAGGAAAACAAAAGAAGGGCAAGGCCCAGAGUGGACAGAGGCUUCUUCCCUGGGUCAGAGAAACACGAGGUCUCGGGGCCCAAAUCCCAGCGCUGCCUGGAGGAAAGGACCCAGCACCUCCCAGCAAAGGCCUCUGUCCACAGCUCCCUUAGUCUGGGGCAGGGAAAUCUGUCUGCACCUUGCCUUGGCUUCUUUCCCUGGGCCCUGGGGGACAACUGCCUAUCCGCUUUCCCCCUCAGGAACAGGGACACAUUAGCAAGGUGACCAGUGUGUCCCAGUUGGCCCAGAUUGUGCUGGUUUUAAAACGGAGAGUCCUGGAAACCCCUUCACCUGGGCAAACCAGGACGGUGGAGCACGGGGCAGGACGAGCAGCAGGACGAGCAGCAGGUCAGCCCUGGGGCCCACAGCUGCCGGAGGCUUCCUGGUCACUGUCUGUUCCCAAGCGCCUGAACUUAACCCUAACCCUACCCCUAACCCAAAUUCCACUCACCACUGGCAAAACUGUCCUCUGUCCUGGACUACCUCCGCCCUGGCCAGGGUGCUCAAGGCCCUGUUGGUGGUCGAGGGGUUCCUAUGGAUCCCGGACCCUGGCCUGGGCCUAAUCGGAGCCCGCCUGGGCCUCUGACCACCAUCUCUCUCUGCUCUGCUGUCAAGGAC
rnacentral:lncRNA from 1 species